rnacentral:rRNA from 1 species
UAGAGUUUGAUCCUGGCUCAGGACGAACGCUGGCGGCGUGCUUAACACAUGCAAGUCGAACGAUGAAGCUCCAGCUUGCUGGGGUGGAAGAGUGGCGAACGGGUGAGUAACACGUGAGCAACCUGCCCAUCACUCUGGGAUAAGCGCUGGAAACGGCGUCUAAUACUGGAUACGACCCAUCACCGCAUGGUGUGUGGGUGGAAAGAUUUAUCGGUGGUGGAUGGGCUCGCGGCCUAUCAGCUUGUUGGUGGGGUAAUGGCCUACCAAGGCGACGACGGGUAGCCGGCCUGAGAGGGUGACCGGCCACACUGGGACUGAGACACGGCCCAGACUCCUACGGGAGGCAGCAGUGGGGAAUAUUGCACAAUGGGCGCAAGCCUGAUGCAGCAACGCCGCGUGAGGGAUGACGGCCUUCGGGUUGUAAACCUCUUUUAGUAGGGAAGAAGCGAAAGUGACGGUACCUGCAGAAAAAGCACCGGCUAACUACGUGCCAGCAGCCGCGGUAAUACGUAGGGUGCAAGCGUUGUCCGGAAUUAUUGGGCGUAAAGAGCUCGUAGCGGCUUGUCGCGUCUGCUGUGAAAUCCCGAGGCUCACCUCGGGCUUGCAGUGGGUACGGGCAGGCUAGAGUGCGGUAGGGGAGAUUGGAAUUCCUGGUUGUAGCGGUCAAUGCGCAGAUAUCAGGAGGAACACCGAUGGCGAAGGCAGAUCUCUGGGCCGCUACUGACGCUGAGGAGCGAAAGCAUGGGGGAGCGAACAGGAUUAGAUACCCUGGUAGU